GGGCCCGCACAAGCGGUGGAGCAUGUGGUUUAAUUCGAUGCAACGCGAAGAACCUUACCUACCCUUGACAUACAGUGAACUUUGCAGAGAUGUGGAGGUGCCUUCGGGAGCACUGAUACAGGUGCUGCAUGGCUGUCGUCAGCUCGUGUCGUGAGAUGUUGGGUUAAGUCCCGUAACGAGCGCAACCCUUAUUCUUAGUUACCAGCACGUUGAGGUGGGGACUCUAAGGAGACUGCCGGUGACAAACCGGAGGAAGGCGGGGAUGACGUCAAGUCAUCAUGGCCCUUACGGGUAGGGCUACACACGUGCUACAAUGGCCGGUACAGAGGGCGGCGAAGGGGUGACCUGGAGCAAAUCUUUGAAAGCUGGUCGUAGUCCGGAUUGAAGUCUGCAACUCGACUUCAUGAAGUCGGAAUCGCUAGUAAUCGCGAAUCAGCAUGUCGCGGUGAAUACGUUCCCGGGCCUU
rnacentral:rRNA from 1 species